GCAUCGUCACAUCUGGCUCUUCUUGCGUCGCCCCAAGAUUCUUCUUAGAUGGGCUGGACCGAUGUUGACUCGCUGGCAGUUCGUGGGCUCGCAACCUCGCUUGCAGGAUUGCUCGGCACCCAUCCUCGUGGGCUUGCAGUGUGAAAAAAAAAAUAGAACCGCUGUUCCUCUUCCGCAAGUGACCGGCCGCGACCUUCCUUUCUCCUCCCCACGAAAAUUCCAUCCAUGACCUAAAUCCCGAUGGAAACGCCUCAUAAAUCCCAGCAAUUACCAUCGGAAACUGCUCCAUGGAACUCAUCCGUCGCCACCACCAUCAUAAAAAUCAGGCCAUGCCGCGCCCAACACCAGUCCGUUUGUCGUUUCGCAUAGGUCGGGCGGCACACAACAGAUGCGUUAGUCAGGAAGAAGCCGUCGUCUCCAGGACGCCACCAGCCCUGAUUGGUUUCAAGGGAUCUAGGAUCGAGUACAUAGUGACUCAUGGAUGCGGGCAGUCCUGGUUCAUAUAUCUCUGUCCUCUAGGUCUCCGGCCGUCCGUCUGCAUAUUACUGGAUUCCUGGUUAUUUUAUUCUGUAUGUGCGAAACUGAGAUUUGCAGUUCCCAUAAGAUGUUGUAACUGAGCUAUUUCAUAUGAUUUAUGCAGAUCAUUUGGAUUU